rnacentral:lncRNA from 1 species
GUGGAAGUGGGCACAGGGACCCAGCUCUAUAUUUCCAUCCCAUGCUGUCCCAAGACUCACAACAAGUUCCUGUGACCUCUCAAACUAUGCGAGGGGCCGGCAAACACGUGAGCAGAGAAGGAACAGAGGGGUCUGGUCUUCCUAAGACACCACCAACACUGUGAGAAGGGGCCCAGAGGAGCGGCCACACCAUUCCCGGAGCUUGCCGAGAGACUCCGACACUGGUGUCAGUGGGAAUUCUGAAGCUCCCGGCACAUGAGCUCAUGCGUGGCCGAGUGCCCAGCCCUGUGCUUCACGGCUUUGGAAUGUGUUUUCUAGGCUGGCCUGCCUUGCUCCCCCCAUCUCACCACAGCAAGGGCUGCUGUCUGCUCUCGGCUCUUCAAAGCCAGGCAAAUUCCAGAAAGGGGCAGGGGCAAUACUAGGUCCUGAUAUCCAUACCCUCCCAUCUGGAAACAAACAAUUCUGAAAACUGGAGUGAAGCCAUGCCACCUGACCAGGAAGCCCACUCAGAAGCAACACACAAG